GAUUCCUGACUCCUCCCACACAGGUGACUAAUCACAUGGCUAUGACAUCAUCACAGGCCCUAUAACAACAGAACAACCAAGCUGCAGCUUUACAGCAGGAGGUUCCUAAAAUAUAGAAUUGUCUGUUAAUAACUUCUACGUAACAGAAUUUUCCUGAUAGACUCAUUAAGGAUGUAUAGGGACAGAGACAAGAUGGCAGAGAGGAUAAUAAAUCUCACCCUAGAGAUACUCUUCCAACUUACUGGAGAGGGUUACACAGUAGUGAAGAAGACCUCUAGUGAGGUUCCUUUGUCUGAAGGAUGGGGAAGAACCUUGAGCCCAAUCACGGGGCCUCCACCUCACCUCCUGAUACAUGAGGAAAUCAAUGAACAGAAAAUCCUAGAACUCACCCACAAGAUGGUGGAGCUGCUGACUGGAGAGGUUCCUAUAAGGUGUCAGGAUGUCACUGUCUAUUUCUCCAUGGAGGAGUGGGA